AACUUUCGGCAAUGGAUCUCUUGGCUCUCGCAUCGAUGAAGAACGCAGCGAAAUGCGAUACGUAAUGUGAAUUGCAGAAUUCUGUGAAUCAUCGAAUCUUUGAACGCACCUUGCGCCUCUUGGUAUUCCGAGGGGCAUGCCUGUUUGAGUGUCAUUGAAUCCUCAAAAGAAAAGCUUAACUGUUUCUCUUUUGGAAUUGGAGUGUGCUGGCCUUUUGUUAGAAAGCCUGGCUCCUCUGAAAUACAUUAGCGAUGUGACAUCCGCGUGGCACCACGCUUCUCUGGCAUUGAUAGCAUCUUCAUGCCUGAGCGUUUUUGUGCAGCUGUGGAAAGCUUUGCUCGCUCAUAACCUGAUGGGUCAGCCCAUCCUUUGACCAAUUUAACCUCAAAUCAGGUAGGAUUACCCGCUGAACUUAAGCAUAUCAAUAAGCGGAGGCU
rnacentral:misc_RNA from 1 species